CUUUGUGUCGAGGCAUCGGACUACAACUCUGGACUGGACGACCUAAGAUGUUACUUUGUGGAUUACGAAAUACAUGCAUCAAGACGCCAGACCCUGAGUGUUACACACACUACCACAUCAACAUCUCGACGAACGCUUCAGGUUAACCUUGGAAACGUGAUUGGAUAAUCUAAGUAGUAAAAAUAUAAACAGAUUGUCAAUGAAAUUAAUGAUGACACUUUAAGGAUUUGAACACUUGUCGUCUAUAACAAGGAAAGAUGUCAUUAAAAUGGAUUUAUAGCUUUUACAUG